rnacentral:rRNA from 1 species
CAAGCGCCAUAUGAGGCGAGGUCCCGAGCAUAGGAUGCCGCUUGCCUGCCGCUGGCCGCCAAUUCGGUCGCUGCGGCCUCUUGAUAUCACGCACAGCAACGGCCCUCUCUCUGCCUCGCGCUGCAGCUAGCUGGCCUUCAUUGUCGCGCCCACCUCCCUCUCCCCUCUUCUCUCCUCCAGCGCGCCACGCACGCUCGCGGAGCAAAGCAAGGGAUGGCGCCGACGUACCGGCCUUACGCGGCGGAGUACGGGGCGGUGGAGCGGAAGGUGCCGGGGGCGCGGUGGGUGGCGUCGGCGGCGGCGGCGUCGUCGGUGGCGUGGUUCGCGGGGGACCAGGCGGAGAUGAAGCGGCGGGGGCGGGUGGCCAGCUACAAGGCCUACGCCGUGGAGGGCAAGGUGAAGGCGUCCCUCCGCCGGGGCCUCCGCUGGAUCAAGGCCAAGUGCUCCCACAUCGUCCACCGCUAGUCCGCUCCGCCCGCCGUCUUCUUCUUCCUUGGUGGCUCAUCAGGCGGACGACCGAUCGAUGGUGGCGAGAACGGAUGCGCGAGGGAUGCAGCCGAGGGACGGACUCAUCGAGCGUUCCUUGCGAGUAGAUUAGUCACUAGUGUAAGAUCAUCAUGCAUGGGUCCUUUCUUCUUCUUUUUCUAGUUUUCCUGUUGUCGAGAGAGAGAGAGAGGAGGGGGGAGAAUGUUUGUUUCCGGGGUUGCAAGCAACGUUGGCCAUCAAUCAUCACACGCGAUUCCUUUCUUUCUGCUUCAGUUUCAGAUAGUCUGCUCGUGAGAUUCCUUUCUGCUUCAGUUCAGUUUGCUUCUGCAAAACAUACCUGGUUGUUGUGUCCGCUUGAUACUCUCAGGCUCAAAAGUGCUUGCAAAACAAAUUAUCCCCUGCAAGGGAAAUGAAUUGGCGCACGAAU